rnacentral:rRNA from 1 species
UACGAAGGGGGCUAGCGUUGUUCGGAUUUACUGGGCGUAAAGCGCACGUAGGCGGUUUGUUAAGUCAGGGGUGAAAUCCCAGAGCUCAACUCUGGAACUGCCUUUGAUACUGGCAAGCUCGAGUCCGGAAGAGGUAAGUGGAACUCCUAGUGUAGAGGUGGAAUUCGUAGAUAUUAGGAAGAACACCAGUGGCGAAGGCGACACACUGGCCCAUUACUGACGCUGAGGCUCGAAAGCGUGGGGAGCAAACAGG